AGAAAUGAACUUCUUAACCUUCAAAAUAUCUGAGUUACAGAUAUACAUAUACACAACUUGGGUCGGGUCAAACAGCCCAAGUGUAAAAGAAAUAGAAUGGGCUCAGAUUCUGCUAUGCCCAAAUAAUCUAACUAAGUCUGCCUACAAUAUACAAAGUAUACAAUGAAUAUACAAUAAAUAUGCAACCCAAUAUCAAUGUCUAUAUUUAUGUUUAUGCUUAGAAGCUAGAUAAGCUUGUAGCUCAACACCCCCCCUCAAGUUGGAGGGGGAGACCACCUUCAACUUGACCAGUAGAGGAUGGAGGACAGUCCUAGGCAGAGGCUUGGUGAGGAGGUCAGCUAGCUGUCGAGAGGUAGGGACAUGGGAGAGUGUAAUGAGCCCACUAGUCAGCUGAUCCCUAGCAAAGUGACAAUCCACCUCAAUAUGCUUGGUCCGCUCAUGAAAAACAGGAUUCUUGGCAAUAUGAAUAGCAGCCUGGUUGUCACAAAAUACAGAGAAGGGAAGAGUAACAGAAACCCCACAGAGGCUUGGUGAGGAGGUCAGUGAGCUGUCGAGAAGUAGGGACAUGGGAGAGAGUAAUGAGCCCACUAGUCAAUUGAUCCCUAAUAAAGUGACAAUCCACCUCAAUAUGCUUGGUCCGCUCAUGAAAAACAUGAUUCUUGGCAAUAUGAAUAGCAGCCUGGUUGUCACAAAAAACAGAUAAGGGAAGAGUAACAGAAACCCUAAUAUCCGUAAGUAAACGAGAAAGCCAAGACAAUUCAGCUACCACUUUACUGAGUGCCCUAUAUUCUGCUUCAGCAGAAGAUAAGGAAACUACAGGUUGCUUUUUGGACUUCCAACUAAUCAAACAACCACCCAAAAUAACACAAAAACCAGUAACAGAUCUGCGAGUAUCAGGGCAGGCAGCCCAAUCACUGUCAGAAUAAGCAGUAAUAGAGAAAUCAGAACUGGCAGAAUAGAACAGACCCAAAGAUAAAGUGCCCUUAAGAUAUAUGAGGACAUGGAGGACAGCAGUCAUAUGAGGGACUCUGGGACAUUUCAGAAAUUGACUCAGAUGCUGAACAGCAAAACAGAUGUNN
rnacentral:lncRNA from 1 species